GACGUAGGGCGCGAGCGUUGUCCGGAUUUAUUGGGCGUAAAGAGCUCGUAGGCGGCUUGUCGCGUCGUCCGUGAAAACCUGCAGCUCAACUGCAGGCUUGCGGUCGAUACGGGCAGGCUAGAGUUCGGUAGGGGAGACUGGAAUUCCUGGUGUAGCGGUGAAAUGCGCAGAUAUCAGGAGGAACACCGGUGGCGAAGGCGGCUCGCUGGGACGUUACUGACACUGAGGCGCGAAAGCGUGGGGAGCGAACAGG
rnacentral:rRNA from 1 species